rnacentral:rRNA from 1 species
UACAGAGGUCUCAAGCGUUGUUCGGAUUCAUUGGGCGUAAAGGGUGCGUAGGUGGCGUCGUAAGUCGGGUGUGAAAUUUCGGAGCUUAACUCCGAAACUGCAUUCGAUACUGCGGUGCUUGAGGACUGGAGAGGAGACUGGAAUUUACGGUGUAGCAGUGAAAUGCGUAGAGAUCGUAAGGAAGACCAGUGGCGAAGGCGGGUCUCUGGACAGUUCCUGGACACUGAGGCACGAAGGCCAGGGGGAGCAAACGGG